rnacentral:rRNA from 1 species
UACAGAGGUCUCAAGCGUUGUUCGGAUUCAUUGGGCGUAAAGGGUGCGUAGGUGGCGCUGUAAGUCGGGUGGUGAAAUUUCGGAGCUUAACUCCGAAACUGCAUUCGAUACUGCGGUGCUUGAGGACUGGAGAGGAGACUGGAAUUCAUGGUGUAGCAGUGAAAUGCGUAGAGAUCAUGAGGAAGACCAGUGGCGAAGGCGGGGUCUCUGGACAGUUCCUGACACUGAGGCACGAAGGCCAGGGGAGCAAACGGG